GAUGAACGCUAGCUACAGGCUUAACACAUGCAAGUCGAGGGGCAGCAUUAUCUUAGCUUGCUAAGAUAGAUGGCGACCGGCGCACGGGUGAGUAACACGUAUCCAACCUUCCGGUUACUCGGGGAUAGGCUUUCGAAAGAAAGAUUAAUACCCGAUGUUGCGUAUCUUUCUCCUGAAAGAUACGCCAAAGGAUUCCGGUAACCGAUGGGGAUGCGUUCCAUUAGGCAGUUGGCGGGGUAACGGCCCACCAAACCUUCGAUGGAUAGGGGUUCUGAGAGGAAGGUCCCCCACAUUGGAACUGAGACACGGUCCAAACUCCUACGGGAGGCAGCAGUGAGGAAUAUUGGUCAAUGGACGGAAGUCUGAACCAGCCAAGUAGCGUGAAGGAUGACUGCCCUCUGGGUUGUAAACUUCUUUUAUACGGGAAUAACAUGAGGUACGCGUACCUUAUUGCAUGUACCGUUAUGAAUAAGCAUCGGCUAACUCCGUGCCAGCAGCCGCGGUAAUACGGAGGAUGCGAGCGUUAUCCGGAUUUAUUGGGUUUAAAGGGAGCGUAGGUGGGAUAUUAAGUCAGCUGUGAAAGUUUGGGGCUCAACCUUAAAAUUGCAGUUGAUACUGGUUUCCUUGAGUACGGUACAGGUGGGCGGAAUUCGUGGUGUAGCGGUGAAAUGCUUAGAUAUCGGGAGGAACACCAGUGGCGAAGGCGGCCUACUGGGCACCAACUGACGCUGAGGCUCGAAAGUGUGGGUAGCAAACAGG
rnacentral:rRNA from 1 species